rnacentral:rRNA from 1 species
GAUCCUGGCUUAGGAUGAACGCUAGCUACAGGCUUAACACAUGCAAGUCGAGGGGCAGCAUGUGGUUGCUUGCAACCAAUGAUGGCGACCGGCGCACGGGUGAGUAACGCGUAUCCAACCUUCCCCUUAGUAGAGGAUAGCCCGGCGAAAGUCGGAUUAAUACUCUAUGUUCUUCAAUGCGGACAUCUAAGUUGAAGCAAAGAUUUAUCGCUAAGGGAUGGGGAUGCGUCUGAUUAGGUUGCAGGCGGGGUAACGGCCCACCUGGCCUACGAUCAGUAGGGGUUCUGAGAGGAAGGUCCCCACACUGGUACUGAGACACGGACCAGACUCCUACGGGAGGCAGCAGUGAGGAAUAUUGGUCAAUGGGCGCGAGCCUGAACCAGCCAAGUAGCGUGCAAGGACGACUGCCCUAUGGGUUGUAAACUGCUUUUAUCAGGGAAUAAAGUGAGGCACGCGUGCCUUUUUGUAUGUACCUGAUGAAUAAGGACCGGCUAAUUCCGUGCCAGCCGCCGC